CUUCCGGGAGUGUGGUUGGGGGGAGAGGUGGGGUAAGGUGGUACUUCCGGGUUUCUCUCGUUUCGCUGAGCGUAGCUGGAACUGCGGACAUCCUGCUCGUCUUCCUAACUCGUCAUCUCAGAUGCUUUGGAAAAGCAAAGAGCCCCAGGAGCAGUGUGAAAGCCAAGGAACAAGCUUCCGUUCCCUCACCCUCACUCAGUUCAGCUGUGCACCAGUCAAUGGCAGUUGUGACCACGGAGGGAGAGGCAGAGAGAGAGGAUCCCAAGCUGGCUCUGUGCUGUCAGUGUAGAGCCUGACUCGGGGCUCAGUCCCGCCAACCGAGACUGUGACCUGAGCUGAAAUCAAGAAUUGGAUGAUCAACCGACUGAGCCACCCAGGCGCCUCUAAAAUGUAUUUCUUACUGUGUGUCAUGGUGUUUGUAAAAAGCAUGAAAACUCUGCAUUAGCUCACUUUUCAUGUAUGUAAAAUAAUGGGAAGGGCAUUAACUAUGAGACUUCAGUGGAACCCGAGUGGUAGAGAAACCCUCUACACCUAAAGAUGAGGAGAAGAUUCUAAACAAAAGUGUAAAUUCAGAUAUUUGACCUAAUGAAAGAUUUGAAAUGCG